UAUUCUACAUAACCCAAGUACAAAAUACAUUACCUGUGUAGUGAUUCUACCAACGGUAUCAUUUGCAGAGCACAAUCAUAUCUUUUCGUCACUAUCAUAGUAUUCU
rnacentral:sRNA from 1 species